ACUUAAAAAAAAAAAAAAAAGCCCGCCUGAUCUCGGUAGCUAAGGUCAGGCCAGGUUAGUACUUGGAUGGGAGACCACCCGGGAAUACCAGGUGCCGUAAGCU
rnacentral:rRNA from 1 species